AUUGAACGCUGGCGGCAUGCCUUACACAUGCAAGUCGAACGGCAGCACGGGGGCAACCCUGGUGGCGAGUGGCGAACGGGUGAGUAACAUAUCGGAACAUACCCUAGAGUGGGGAUAACGUAGCGAAAGUUACGCUAAUACCGCAUACGAUCUAAGGAUGAAAGUGGGGGAUCUUCGGACCUCAUGCUCAUGGAGUGGCCGAUAUCUGAUUAGCUAGUUGGUGAGGUAAAGGCUCACCAAGGCGACGAUCAGUAGCUGGUUUGAGAGAACGACCAGCCACACUGGAACUGAGACACGGUCCAGACUCCUACGGAGGCAGCAGUGGGGAAUUUUGGACAAAUGGGGGGCAACCCUGAUCCAGCAAUGCCGCGUGAGUGAAGAAGGCC
rnacentral:rRNA from 1 species